rnacentral:rRNA from 1 species
UACGGGAGGCAGCAGUGGGGAAUAUUGCACAAUGGGCGAAAGCCUGAUGCAGCUAUGCCGCGUGUAUGAAGAAGGCCUUAGGGUUGUAAAGUACUUUCAUCGGGGAGGAAAAAACAAAACUAAUAAUUUUAUUUCUUGACGUUACCCGAAAAAGAAGCACCGGCUAACUCCGUGCCAGCAGCCGCGGUAAUACGGAGGGUGCUAGCGUUAAUCAGAAUUACUGGGCGUAAAGAGCACGUAGGUGGUUUUUUAAGUCAGAUGUGAAAUCCCUGGGCUUAACCUAGGAACUGCAUUUUGAAACUGAAAUACUAGAGUAUCGUAGAGGGAGGUAGAAUUCUAGGUGUAGCGGUGAAAUGCGUAGAUAUCUGGAGGAAUACCUGUGGCGAAAGCGGCCUCCUAAACGAAUACUGACACUGAGGUGCAAAAGCGUGGGGAGCAAACAGGGAUUAGAUACC